rnacentral:rRNA from 1 species
AUUGAACGCUGGCGGCAGGCCUAACACAUGCAAGUCGAGCGAGUGGCGGACGGGUGAGUAAUGUAUGGGGACCUGCCUGAUAGAGGGGGAUAACUACUGGAAACGGUGGCUAAUACCGCAUACUAUCCGAUGACCUCAGAUGGGAUUAGCUAGUAGGUGGGGUAAAGGCUUACCUAGGCGACGAUCCCUAGCUGGUCUGAGAGGAUGAUCAGCCACACUGGGACUGAGACACGGCCCAGACUCCUACGGGAGGCAGCAGUGGAGAAUAUUGCGCAAUGGGCGCAAGCCUGAUGCAGCCAUGCCGCGUGUAUGAAGAAGGCCUUAGGGUUGUAAAGUACUGUCGGCGGGGAGGCGUUACCCGCACGAGAAGCACCGGCUAACUCUGUGCCAGCAGCCGCGGUAAUAC